GCGCAACUUCGGCGUUGGAUUCGACUGGAAGUGGAAGCUUCGUGGCUCCCCAACACACGCGCAUCUGGGCUCUGUGUGUCCGUGGACACAGGGGCGGUCAAGAUUCUAGAGCCCGCCCGAGUGUGUAAUCCCAACAGUUUAGAGAUGACUUGGAUGACUACGGAGAUGAUGUGGUUUUAGAUGAAACCACCGCCGGCUACAUAACACUCUACUCAUACCCAAACGAAACGAGCUAAAUUCUGGACAGGAUCGACCAAGUCUAAGAUACCAGAUGCAGAGCGCUUGAAACUAUAGCUCUGACCGCAGUUGUCAGCCUUUGCGACCAUUCGCGUGUGUGUUCCACUAACGAAAACGUUGCGACCUUGCCGUCGCCGCAGUUUACAUCGAAGCAAUCUCCCCUCCACUCCCUGUGGCCAGAACCAAGAAGUCGUAGAGGGUAACACAUAGUUGGCCUUCUUCGCGCCUCGGACCAAUGCACUUGGCGACCAACAUACCUGUUGGCUGAGCCCAUUGUGGCACAGUCGGUGCCGGCAAAAUUGCAUCACCGCCAGCGGAACUAGAACUGGAAAAACCAGCGUUUUGAUUGCGGCUCUUACGGCUCUGCGAGUGGUAUAACCACCACGAUAAACCUAUUGAUACGGAAAGUAUCCAACAAACUGUUGAUAUACCGCUAUCUCAACGUAAACAGUGUAUCUUUGGACACAUUGUAUUUUGGUCGUUGGUUAAGGGGUUCGAAAAUAAUGCACUUAAGAGCGUACACAUUCAAUAUAAUUCUAUGCGCAUAGUAACCACCAUGUCAGGUGGAUUUUGUCGUAAGCCCAUUCCGUCAAUGUCUGCUGAGGCUGAUGUGGAAACAGCCCAGUUAUGCGGAUAGGCUUAUUUUUAUCAGACUUGGAGCGUUAACCAGCUUUACCCCAGCAUUGCGGCUCUCAAGCUUCACGGAACGAUCCUUCCGUUGUCCAACGGAAAGUUGUUCAUCUUUUGAAUGUUCCAUAUGAAGGAAAUGUGUGUAGUAUAUAAGAUUAUUUUUUUCUA